rnacentral:lncRNA from 1 species
UCACAGUUUACAAAUCUGCCAUUCAAAUUAAUUUUGCUCCAUUCCUUAUAAAAAAAAAUGGGCUCCGUUGAAGAAGUGUCAUGGGCUUUAAGGAGGGCCCGUUAAGUAAGCGAACUCGAGAAACAAAACCCAAAUGGUUCUUGAAUAAUGAACAAGAUCGAGAGGCUAUUUUCUCGAUCAAUCUGCUGUCACCUCCGUCCGUCCAACUCCAAUCAAGGAAACGCUCCCCUCUCUCUCUCUUCCAAACUACCUUUUUAUCCAUCACACUUCUGACACAUUGCACUUGUAUAUAUAUUCUCAAAAACUCAAUCGAAAGGCGGAGAAAUCACAGCACCACCAAAAAACCUUCUCUCAAAUGACAGUAUGGGGACUGGAAAAGAUAAGGAAUCAAUCGCAACUGAUUACGACGACAAAACUGUCGCGUUUCUCCAAAACCAACACUCUUCCACCUACUCCUCUUCUUCCUCUUGCGUGAAGGACGACGAAGCUUACCCCGGCAGCGGCGGAGUAUUAGUAAACAGGAGCGGCACGGUAUGGACGGCGGUGGCGCACAUAAUCACGGGCGUAAUCGGAUCGGGAGUCCUCUCGCUACAAUGGAGCAUGGCUCAGUUAGGUUGGAUUGCCGGACCCGCCGCGAUGCUUCUAUUCGCCGCCAUAACUCUGCUCUCCGCUUUCCUUCUCUGCGAUUGCUACCGAUCUCCUCACCCCUUGCUCGGCCCUUCCCGCAAUCGGUCGUAUCUUGACGCCGUCCUUCUAACUUUAGGUACGCCUUCACUUAAUUUGAAUUUCCCGUUGAUUGUUGAUUCGGUUAUCUUCUCUUUUCAAGUACUCUGUUCUUGCUUCCCAGUUUAAUCGGUACACGGUAGAAAUUCAGAAGUUUAAAGUAAAAAUGGAGACAGUUAGAAAGGUGAAAAUGUAAAUGGUGGGAGUUGUUAAUUAGUGUGAUUCCGUGAUUUUGGGGAUCUCCAGGUAGAUUUUUUUCUGGUAAUUCUAACUGAUAAGUAGUAUAACAAUAAUGAACAAUCUGAUAUUCACCAUUAUAGAAAAAAUACAAAGGAUUUAAUUAAUUCCUUAUUAUUUAUUGAUUAAUUUGAUUUAUUUGGUUGGUGAUGACUGAUCAGCUUGUCUGUAAUAAAUUAAAAUUGAUUUUAUGCAAAGAAGUUGUGUACACGGAAACUCUGUGAUUGCCACGCGGAGGCAUUUUUAUGGGGAAUUCGUUCUCCAUUGUUUCCGACUAGCUUUUUGAUUGGUCAACAUCACUGCCCCCAGAUCAUACAAAUAAAAUUUGUCAGGGAUUUAUUUUUCAUGAUUCUAAUUCGAUGACUCUAAAAAUAAAUCAUGAAAAGCUUAUAUAAAGUAUAUAACUAUAUUCAUUUACAUUGCCUAUAUAUCAUAUAUGCAAUAUUUUUAUCUAAUUUAAAUAUUAAAAACAACUUUAAAAUAUAAAAAAUGAAAGAAUAACUAAUUUAGUUACGAUAGUUAAAAUAGAAUUUGAGAUUUGGUUGUGGCACAAAACCCACUUAAGGCCAAAACUAUUAUUGAUGCACCAAAUGGUUUGAGAAAUGAGAUACGUGCCAAACUUUGCAACAAACUUCAUAAAAUUAUUACUUUUAAAGCUGACACGAAAAUUGACGCAGCUUUGCAUAUACUAUCUUGUACUUGUUUGUUUAUUUAAUUAAAUAAUUUGUCUUCCACAUUCCUUUGUUUGUGUCACCUUCCCCAACAUCUAUCUAAUGAACUCAUGCCACGCAUACACAAGAGCCAUAAAUCCAAGUAGGUCCAUUUGCUGACCAUGAUUCUAUCAGCAACCGUCCACGUUUCUAACUUCUAGGCUAUUAGAUAUGGAUACGUACCACAUUCAUCAUGAGCAACCAGACAUGUUAAAAACAUGCGACAUUGAUUUCAUCGGUUGAUUGAUUCUUUUAUCAUAGACUGAACCUGAGGGAUUGAACUAAUAAUUGGUUUAAAGAUGAGUUGAUCUGACGUUGUUACUGAUUACAUUUGCAGGGAGAAAGAACGCAUGGGCAUGUGGAGUGCUGGUACAGACAAGUAUGUACGGCAUUGGGAUUGCCUACACGAUCACUGCUGCAAUUAGCAUGAGGUAAAUUAAUUAAUUGCUAAUCCGUUUAAAUAAACAUAUCAAUUACCCCGCUCGAUAAUGGAAGUUAAUUAUUUCAUUGUUACUUGUAGGGCGAUUCAGGAAUCGGCGUGUAGUAGUAUUUACAAUGAUAAGAAAGGGGGUGGUGGGUGUGAGGGUGGUGGAGGGAUGAGCUCAUACAUGAUAAUGUUCGGAGUGGCGGAGUUGUUCAUGUCUCAAAUCCCAAACUUCCACGACAUUCAGUGGCUUUCCAAUGUCGCCGCCGUCAUGUCUUUCGCUUACUCCUUCAUCGGUCUCGGCCUUGGCUUCGCUCGUGUCUUAGGUACGUAUAACCAGUAACCACAACUCUAUCACAUCUAAUCAAAUGUUUGCUUGAUGUUUUUCUUAUAAAUUAAUUUUUAAUAUAAUUUCGUCUGGAUUUAACUUUCCUGUUUAAAAUACUUCAAAUUUCAUCCAAAUUUCUAUAUGGCAAAUUUGUAGAUAGUUUCACUAAGCUCAAGUGAAUUUUUGGUACUUGUACGUGCCACUAAUUUGAUUCCUCUGUUCUGAUUGAUAGCUCUGUUGUGGAUAAAAUAGCUGAAUUGGGUUUGCUGUCACACUACUAGACAGUUCCUCUAUUUUUUCUUUUAAAAUUGACAUUUUAUCGUNNNNNNNNNNNNNNNNNNNNNNNNNNNNNNNNNNNNNNNNNNNNNNNNNNNNNNNNGCUCUCAAAUGACAGUAUGGGGACUGGAAAAGAUAAGGAAUCAAUCGCAACUGAUUACGACGACAAAACUGUCGCGUUUCUCCAAAACCAACACUCUUCCACCUACUCCUCUUCUUCCUCUUGCGUGAAGGACGACGAAGCUUACCCCGGCAGCGGCGGAGUAUUAGUAAACAGGAGCGGCACGGUAUGGACGGCGGUGGCGCACA